GAGUCGCCAAGCGGUAAGGCAAUGGACUCUGGAUCCAUCAUUCGGGGGUUCGAAUCCCUCCUC
rnacentral:tRNA from 1 species